GACGAACGCUGGCGGCGUGCUUAACACAUGCAAGUCGAACGGUGAACUCCGCUUGCGGGGGGAUCAGUGGCGAACGGGUGAGUAACACGUGGGCAACCUGCCCUCAGCUCUGGGAUAACUCCAAGAAAUUGGGGCUAAUACCGGAUAUGACCGCUGACCGCAUGGUCUGGUGGUGGAAAGAUUUAUCGGCUGGGGAUGGGCCCGCGGCCUAUCAGCUUGUUGGUGGGGUAGUGGCCUACCAAGGCGACGACGGGUAGCCGGCCCGAGAGGGUGACCGGCCACACUGGGACUGAGACACGGCCCAGACUCCUACGGGAGGCAGCAGUGGGGAAUAUUGCGCAAUGGGCGAAAGCCGGACGCAGCGACGCCGCGUGGGGGAUGACGGCCUUCGGGUUGUAAACCUCUUUCAGCAGGGACGAAGCGAAAGUGACGGUACCUGCAGAAGAAGCACCGGCCAACUACGU
rnacentral:rRNA from 1 species